rnacentral:rRNA from 1 species
UGGGGAAACCCAGUGUGAUUCGUCACACUAUCAUUAACUGAAUCCAUAGGUUAAUGAGGCGAACCGGGGGAACUGAAACAUCUAAGUACCCCGAGGAAAAGAAAUCAACCGAGAUUCCCCCAGUAGCGGCGAGCGAACGGGGAGGAGCCCAGAGCCUGAAUCAGCAUGUGUGUUAGUGGAAGCGUCUGGAAAGGCGCGCGAUACAGGGUGACAGCCCCGUACACAAAAGCGCAUGUGCUGUGAGCUCGAUGAGUAGGGCGGGACACGUGGUAUCCUGUCUGAAUAUGGGGGGACCAUCCUCCAAGGCUAAAUACUCCUGACUGACCGAUAGUGAACCAGUACCGUGAGGGAAAGGCGAAAAGAACCCCGGCGAGGGGAGUGAAAAAGAACCUGAAACCGUGUACGUACAAGCAGUGGGAGCACA